GCUUUGAGUUCGUACUUUUUUUUAAGGAAAAUGAAUAAAAGCUAACAAUGUUAGGGAUUUCCCAUGUUAAUCUACAUGCUUUAUGUAAAUUUUCCAGUAUUCAUUUAUGGUACCGUAUUGUGAGCGAAUUAAUGAUUUCCUUUACAGCAAGCAAAUCAUAAGUAUUAAUUUUGAUGCUUAAUUCAUCUAACUCUCAAUCGAUUUUAAUUUUAUCUGAGUGGUAAUUCCAUUUCAAGCUUGCGUUCUCCGAUUCUUUAAGCAAUUUUUUAUUGUCAUUAUAAUAUUUUCAAAGUAUUCUUGAUCUCGUAUUGGUUAUUUCCCCUAUUUUUUCUAUUUAUUUCACCGUUUCAUAUUACAAUCUGCAAGCAAAGUAAUGAAUUUAAUAUAUAUUUUUGAAAAAUAGCGCACGUCAAAAAUUUUAUUAACUAUUAAAUUACUUUGCUAGCACAAUUACUAAAGUUUUGUUAGUAGUUUAGACCUAACGUGAGUUGUUUUCAAAUAUUUCCGCGGUCAAAAAUUUAUUGAGCAAUAAAAUAUACCAG